UACGUAGGGGGCCAGGCGUUGUCCGAAGUUACUGGGCGUAAAGAGCGCGUAGGCGGGUCUUUAAGUGGGGGGUGAAAUUCUGAGGCUCAACCUCGGAACUGCCUCCCAUACUGGGGACCUUGAGUCCGGAAGAGGAGAGUGGAAUUCCUGGUGUAGCGGUGAAAUGCGCAGAUAAUCAGGAAGAACACCAAUGGCGAAGGCAGCUCUCUGGGACGGUACUGACGCUGAGACGCGAAAGCGUGGGGAGCGAAC
rnacentral:rRNA from 1 species